UCCGGGUCGGGGUUUUCGGAUUUCAGUUCUCUUUUAUAACACCUCCUAGAUCCCAUUCAAGUAAAUUUGCAAGUACGGGUCGGGUUCGGAUAUAACACAUCGGGUUCGAGUCGGUUUUGUAUCACAUCAUAGAACCCAUAAAGUAAUCAUAUAUCAUUCGGAUUCGGAUUAUAUCGGAUCGGUUCGGAUAUAUCCGAAAUAA
rnacentral:lncRNA from 1 species